rnacentral:rRNA from 1 species
ACGGGUGAGUAACACGUAGGUAACCUGCCUAUGAGACUGGGAUAACUAUCGGAAACGAUAGCUAAGACCGGAUAACUGGUUUUCUCGCAUGAGAGAAUCAUGAAACACGGAGCAAUCUGUGGCUUAUAGAUGGGCCUGCGGCGCAUUAGCUAGUUGGUAGGGUAAUGGCCUACCAAGGCGACGAUGCGUAGCCGACCUGAGAGGGUGACCGGCCACACUGGGACUGAGACACGGCCCAGACUCCUACGGGAGGCAGCAGUAGGGAAUCUUCCGCAAUGGACGCAAGUCUGACGGAGCAACGCCGCGUGAGUGAUGAAGGUUUUCGGAUCGUAAAGCUCUGUUGCCCUAGACGAACAGCAAGGAGAGUAACUGCUCUUUGUGUGACGGUAUAGGAGAAGAAAGCCCCGGCUAACUACGUGCCAGCAGCCGCGGUAAUACGUAGGGGGCAAGCGUUGUCCGGAAUUAUUGGGCGUAAAGCGCGCGCAGGCGGUUAAUUAAGUUGGGUGUUUAAGCCCGGGGCUCAACCCCGGUUCGCAUCCAAAACUGGUUGACUUGAGUGUAGGAGAGGAAAGUGGAAUUCCACGUGUA